UCAUCAUCUGUCAUAAAUAUGUCAUAAUAAUGUCAUGAAGUGUUAUUACACUGUCAAAAGCUUUUACAAAACAGUAAUUAAUAUUUCCCCCUAUCUGAAAUAAAGCAGAACAAGUAGGACCAACAAUAAAGAUUUCAUUAAGCUUUAUUACACUGUCAAAUGAUUUAAUAACAGAGUCAUUAAUAUUAACUCUUACCUCACACUGAACUACUUAUAACUACCAUCAGAGCUGUAGAACAAACUCUUUGUACAUUGGAAUAAAACAAAAGAUUACUUCUUCAAACAGAGGUUUUAACUUCUGGUCAGUAUAUUGUAACUCUGAAAUACUGAUUGAGAAAUUAAAACAGAAUGAAUUAUUCUUUAACUGAAGGAAAUCAGUUCUUUCAACAGUCCUAACAUUUUUGCUCUGAUCAUGUCAGCCAUCUCCUUCGUUAUAGUCUAACCCUCUGCUAACAGAGACC